rnacentral:rRNA from 1 species
AUUGAACGCUGGCGGCAGGCCUAACACAUGCAAGUCGAGCGGAUGAAGGGAGCUUGCUCCUGGAUUCAGCGGCGGACGGGUGAGUAAUGCCUAGGAAUCUGCCUGGUAGUGGGGGAUAACGUCCGGAAACGGGCGCUAAUACCGCAUACUUCCUGAGGGGGAAAGUGGGGGAUCUUCGGACCUCACUCUAUCAGAUGAGCCUAGGUCGGAUUAGCUAGUUGGUGGGGUAAAGGCCUACCAAGGCGACGAUCCGUAACUGGUCUGAGAGGAUGAUCAGUCACACUGGAACUGAGACACGGUCCAGACUCCUACGGGAGGCAGCAGUGGGGAAUAUUGGACAAUGGGCGAAAGCCUGAUCCAGCCAUGCCGCGUGUGUGAAGAAGGUCUUCGGAUUGUAAAGCACUUUAAGUUGGGAGGAAGGGCAGUAAGUUAAUACCUUGCUGUUUUGACGUUACCAACAGAAUAAGCACCGGCUAACUUCGUG